AAAAAGAUAGGCUAUAUUAAGCCUUUAGGCCCAUGACCUAGCGAAAGAAACAGAGUUUCUUCUUUUUA
rnacentral:tRNA from 1 species